rnacentral:rRNA from 1 species
AUUGAACGCUGGCGGCAGGCCUAACACAUGCAAGUCGAGCGGAUGAAGGGAGCUUGCUCCUGGCUUCAGCGGCGGACGGGUGAGUAAUGCCUAGGAAUCUGCCUGGUAGUUGGGGAUAACGUCAGGAAACGGGCGCUAAUACCGCAUACGUCCUGAUGGAGAAAGGGGGGGAUCUUCAGACCUCGCGCUAUCAGAUGAGCCUAGGUCGGAUUAGCUAGUUGGUGGGGUAAAGGCCUACCAAGGCGACGAUCCGUAACUGGUCUGAGAGGAUGAUCAGUCACACUGGAACUGAGACACGGUCCAGACUCCUACGGGAGGCAGCAGUGGGGAAUAUUGGACAAUGGGCGAAAGCCUGAUCCAGCCAUGCCGCGUGUGUGAAGAAGGUCUUCGGAUUGUAAAGCACUUUUAGUUGGGAAGAAGGGCAGUAAGUUAAUACCUGGCUGUUUUGACGGUACCAACAGAAUAAGCACCGGCUAACUUCGUG